UGACUGCUAUCGGAUUGAUACUAAGCCAUGUGAGUCUUUGUAGCAAUACAAGGCAGACGGCUCAGUAACGCGUAGCCAAUCUACCCUAUGGACGGGGAUAACCUCGGGAAACUGAGGAUAAUACCCGAUAGAUCAUUAUGCCUGGAACGGUUUAUGGUCUAAAUGAUUCGUCGCCGUAGGAUGGGACUGCGGCCUAUCAGCUUGUUGGUGAGGUAAUGGCCCACCAAGGCUAUUACAGGUACGGGCUCUGAGAGGAGAAGCCCGGAGAUGGGUACUGAGACACGGACCCAGGCCCUAUGGGGCGCAGCAGGCGAGAAAACUUUGCAAUGUGCGAAAGCACGACAAGGUUAAUCCGAGUGAUUCCUGCUAAAGGAAUCUUUUGUUAGUCGUAAAACCACUGAUGAAUAAGGGGUGGGCAAGUUCUGGUGUCAGCCGCCGCGGUAAAACCAGCACCUCAAGUGGUCAGGAGGAUUAUUGGGCCUAAAGCAUCCGUAGCCUGCUCUGUAAGUUUCCGGUUAAAUCCAUUCGCUCAACUGAUGGGCUGCCGGAAAAACUGCAAAGCUAGGGAGUGGAAGAGGUAGACGGUACUCGGUAGGAAGGGGUAAAAUCCUUUGAUCUAUUGAUGACCACCUGUGGCGAAGGC
rnacentral:rRNA from 1 species